rnacentral:rRNA from 1 species
CCUACGGGAGGCAGCAGUGGGGAAUAUUGGGCAAUGGGCGCAAGCCUGACCCAGCAAUGCCGCGUGAAGGAAGAAGGCUUUCGGGUUGUAAACUUCUUUGGCAGGGGAAGAGCAGAAGACGGUACCCUGAAAAUAAGCCACGGCUAACUACGUGCCAGCAGCCGCGGUAAUACGGAGGGGGCAAGCGCUGUCCGGAUUUACUGGGGGUAAAGGGCGGGUAGCCGGGAAGGCAAGUCAGAUGUGAAAUCUGGAGGCUCAAACCCCAAAUUGCAUUUGAAACUGUUUGUCUUGAGUACAGGAGAGGCAGGCGGAAUUCCUUGUGUAGCGGUAAAAUGCGUAGAUAUAAGGAGGAACACCAGUGGCGAAGGCGGUCUGCUGGACAGCAACUGACGGUGAGGCGCGAAAGCGUGGGGAGCAAACAGGAUUAGAUACCCUAGUAGUC